UAGGGAAUCUUCGGCAAUGGACGGAAGUCUGACCGAGCAACGCCGCGUGAGUGAAGAAGGUUUUCGGAUCGUAAAGCUCUGUUGUAAGAGAAGAACGAGUGUGAGAGUGGAAAGUUCACACUGUGACGGUAUCUUACCAGAAAGGGACGGCUAACUACGUGCCAGCAGCCGCGGUAAUACGUAGGUCCCGAGCGUUGUCCGGAUUUAUUGGGCGUAAAGCGAGCGCAGGCGGUUAGAUAAGUCUGAAGUUAAAGGCUGUGGCUUAACCAUAGUACGCUUUGGAAACUGUUUAACUUGAGUGCAAGAGGGGAGAGCGGAAUUCCAUGUGUAGCGGUGAAAUGCGUAGAUAUAUGGAGGAACACCGGUGGCGAAAGCGGCUCUCUGGCUUGUAACUGACGCUGAGGCUCGAAAGCGUGGGGAGCAAACAGGAUUAGAUACCCUGGUAGUCCACGCCGUAACGAUGAGUGCUAGGUGUUAGACCCUUUCCGGGGUUUAGUGCCGUAGCUAACGCAUUAAGCACUCCGCCUGGGGAGUACGACCGCAAGGUUG
rnacentral:rRNA from 1 species